CAGCAGCCGCGGGAAAACGGAGGGAGCUAGCGUUGUUCGGAAUUACUGGGCGUAAAGCGCGCGUAGGCGGUUACUCAAGUCAGAGGUGAAAGCCCGGGGCUCAACCCCGGAACUGCCUUUGAAACUAGGUGACUAGAAUCUUGGAGAGGCCAGUGGAAUUCCGAGUGUAGAGGUGAAAUUCGUAGAUAUUCGGAAGAACACCAGUGGCGAAGGCGACUGACUGGACAAGUAUUGACGCUGAGGUGCGAAAGCGUGGGGAGCAAACAGGAUUAGAUACCCCGGUAGUCCCUGUCUCUUAUAC
rnacentral:rRNA from 1 species